UCUAUGACAACAGGGCGAUGUGUCAUCUGGUGCGCCGUGUUGCGCGCUUGACGCGAUCACAUCAUCGCUUGGAGCCGCCGGGCCAGGUGCGUGGUCCCGCUACCGGAAUGGCGCCAUUCACUGAUGGGUGUGGGGAUAUAAGUUAUGCAUUUGAACACCCCUGCAUGUAUUGGGAUGAAACCAGUUAGAUCCUGCCCAGGUUUAAGGAGGAAGGGUUAGGGUCCCAGUUGGACCUCACAGCAAAAUGCACCGGGCACAACUUUGACCCAGGGAGCCUGUUCUGGAGCUUCCACUGGAUGGAUUUGGAAGAAAACUUCACAGAAUGGAGACAUUGCAUCCUAGAAGACAUACUGUACUAGGGGGUUCGGUUUGGUCGGAUGUGCCAUUGGUGUACGCUGGUGUCGCACAUUCCAAUAAAAUCUAAUCUUAGUUGACGUGUGAUUGCACAGGGAGAUAGAUGUGCGCAAACGUCAAAAAGAUUUUUCUUCAAAAUGGUUCGUGAGGAACGUGAAUGGCAACGUAUUUUAUAUAUUUUAGAGGAAUCUGAUUCAGCACAAAGUGACCAUUCGACAGAAAGUGAGGUAAAUGAAGAUCACAUUAGUAUACGCAGCCAGCAGAGUGACACAGAGCAGGAGGCUUCUGACAGCGAUGAUGAUAAUAUACCUCUGAGCGCACUACAGCAUCAAAUAAGUUCCUCAGUAUCUAGUCAUCCUCAGCAAGAUUCUUCAAGCACAAACACCCGCCAGACUUCAGAAAUCCAGGCAUGAACAUCACAAUAUGUUGGCAAAGACGGGACUGAGUGGCAAAAGCAACCUUUUCGACAGAAUGUACGUACCCGGCUGGAAAAUAUAAUUACACAGGUGCCAGGAGUACGGCCACAAGCAAAAUCUGCUACAUCAGAAAUAGAUUGCUGGAGCCUUUUUUUUUUUU